ACCAAAUCAGGCACAGACUCUUUCUGCCAUUGGUGAGGAUCUAUUUGCUAUAGCACAAGAUCAGCCAUUUCGUUUUCCAUCUACCUUCACCUUUGUUAUCAGGGCCUUUUCAACACUUGAAGGAAUAGGGUACACAUUGAAUCCAGAUUUCUCGCUUGCAAAGAUUGCUGCACCCUAUGCACAGGAACUUCUAGAUUUAAGGCAGAGGCGGCAAACCGGGCCGUAAAUCGUGGAGCAGAUAAGGAAGCAAGCAGAUGAUGUAUCACAUCUUACUUGCAAAAACUCUCAUAUGAUGUGAAGCAUUUUAAUUUAGAAUGCCAUUGUUCAUCCGCUUUAAAUUGACAAUGAUGAG